rnacentral:rRNA from 1 species
GACGAACGCUGGCGGCGUGCCUAAUACAUGCAAGUCGAGCGAGACUCUUCGGAGUCUAGCGGCGGACGGGUGAGUAACACGUGGGCAACCUGCCUGUAAGACUGGGAUAACACCGGGAAACCGGUGCUAAUACCGGAUAAUCCUUUUCCUCUCAUGAGGGAAAGCUGAAAGUCGGUUUCGGCUGACACUUACAGAUGGGCCCGCGGCGCAUUAGGUAGUUGGUGAGGUAACGGCUCACCAAGGCGACGAUGCGUAGCCGACCUGAGAGGGUGAUCGGCCACACUGGGACUGAGACACGGCCCAGGCUCCUACGGGAGGCAGCAGUAGGGAAUCUUCCACAAUGGACGAAAGUCUGAUGGAGCAACGCCGCGUGAGCGAUGAAGGCCUUCGGGUCGUAAAGCUCUGUUGUUAGGGAAGAACAAGUACCGGAGUAACUGCCGGUACCUUGACGGUACCUAACCAGAAAGCCACGGCUAACUACGUGCCAGCCGCCGCGGUAAUAC